CGGAUAGUAGCGUAAUAGGUAACGCAUCUGGUUUGGGACUGGAGGAUUAUAAGUUCAAAUCUUAUCUAUCCGA
rfam:Smittium culicis strain GSMNP scaffold-9575, whole genome shotgun sequence.